rnacentral:rRNA from 1 species
CUACGGUGCUGAAGCAACAAAUGCCCUGCUUCCAGGAAAAGCCUCUAAGCAUCAGGUAACAUCAAAUCGUACCCCAAACCGACACAGGUGGUCAGGUAGAGAAUACCAAGGCGCUUGAGAGAACUCGGGUGAAGGAACUAGGCAAAAUGGUGCCGUAACUUCGGGAGAAGGCACGCUGACACGUAGGUGAAGUGAUUUACUCAUGGAGCUGAAGUCAGUCGAAGAUACCAGCUGGCUGCAACUGUUUAUUAAAAACACAGCACUGUGCAAACACGAAAGUGGACGUAUACGGUGUGACGCCUGCCCGGUGCCGGAAGGUUAAUUGAUGGGGUCAGCGCAAGCGAAGCUCCUGAUCGAAGCCCCGGUAAACGGCGGCCGUAACUAUAACGGUCCUAAGGUAGCGAAAUUCCUUGUCGGGUAAGUUCCGACCUGCACGAAUGGCGUAAUGAUGGCCAGGCUGUCUCCACCCGAGACUCAGUGAAAUUGAACUCGCUGUGAAGAUGCAGUGUACCCGCGGCAAGACGGAAAGACCCCGUGAACCUUUACUAUAGCUUGACACUGAACAUUGAGCCUUGAUGUGUAGGAUAGGUGGGAGGCUUUGAAGUGUGGACGCCAGUCUGCAUGGAGCCGACCUUGAAAUACCACCCUUUAAUGUUUGAUGUUCUAACGUGGACCCGUUACCCGGGUUGCGGACAGUGUCUGGUGGGUAGUUUGACUGGGGCGGUCUCCUCCUAAAGAGUAACGGAGGAGCACGAAGGUUGGCUAAUCCUGGUCGGACAUCAGGAGGUUAGUGCAAUGGCAUAAGCCAGCUUGACUGCGAGCGUGACGGCGCGAGCAGGUGCGAAAGCAGGUCAUAGUGAUCCGGUGGUUCUGAAUGGAAGGGCCAUCGCUCAACGGAUAAAAGGUACUCCGGGGAUAACAGGCUGAUACCGCCCAAGAGUUCAUAUCGACGGCGGUGUUUGGCACCUCGAUGUCGGCUCAUCACAUCCUGGGGCUGAAGUAGGUCCCAAGGGUAUGGCUGUUCGCCAUUUAAAGUGGUACGCGAGCUGGGUUUAGAACGUCGUGAGACAGUUCGGUCCCUAUCUGCCGUGGGCGCUGGAGAACUGAGGGGGGCUGCUCCUAGUACGAGAGGACCGGAGUGGACGCAUCACUGGUGUUCGGGUUGUCAUGCCAAUGGCACUGCCCGGUAGCUAAAUGCGGAAGAGAUAAGUGCUGAAAGCAUCUAAGCACGAAACUUGCCCCGAGAUGAGUUCUCCCUGAGACUUAGAGUCUCCUGAAGGAACGUUGAAGACGACGACGUUGAUAGGCCGGGUGUGUAAGCGCAGCGAUGCGUUGAGCUAACCGGUACUAAUGAACCGUGAGGCUUAACCUUACA